UUUUCUAAUAGGACAAAUCAGAUUUUUCCUCUUGAUUUCAGCAUUUUCCUCCUGGCAAAAUUUAAAUCCAACUGAAAAUGCUAAAAUUCAGGAGGAAUAAGUCUGAUUUGUCAUUCUCUUAUU
rfam:Gossypium raimondii Chr07_contig_1266, whole genome shotgun sequence.